rnacentral:rRNA from 1 species
CCGCACGGGUGAGUAACACGUAUCCAACCUGCCGUCUACUCUUGGACAGCCUUCUGAAAGGAAGAUUAAUACAAGAUGGCAUCAUGAGUUCACAUGUUCACAUGAUUAAAGGUAUUCCGGUAGACGAUGGGGAUGCGUUCCAUUAGAUAGUAGGCGGGGUAACGGCCCACCUAGUCUUCGAUGGAUAGGGGUUCUGAGAGGAAGGUCCCCCACAUUGGGACUGAGACACGGUCCAA